rnacentral:rRNA from 1 species
GUUGAAAAAUUAGCGGAUGACUUGUGGCUGGGGGUGAAAGGCCAAUCAAACCGGGAGAUAGCUGGUUCUCCCCGAAAGCUAUUUAGGUAGCGCCUCGUGAAUUCAUCUCCGGGGGUAGAGCACUGUUUCGGCAAGGGGGUCAUCCCGACUUACCAACCCGAUGCAAACUGCGAAUACCGGAGAAUGUUAUCACGGGAGACACACGGCGGGUGCUAACGUCCGUCGUGAAGAGGGAAACAACCCAGACCGCCAGCUAAGGUCCCAAAGUCAUGGUUAAGUGGGAAACGAUGUGGGAAGGCCCAGACAGCCAGGAUGUUGGCUUAGAAGCAGCCAUCAUUUAAAGAAAGCGUAAUAGCUCACUGGUCGAGUCGGCCUGCGCGGAAGAUGUAACGGGGCUAAACCAUGCACCGAAGCUGCGGCAGCGACGCUUAUGCGUUGUUGGGUAGGGGAGCGUUCUGUAAGCCUGUGAAGGUGUGCUGUGAGGCAUGCUGGAGGUAUCAGAAGUGCGAAUGCUGACAUAAGUAACGAUAAAGCGGGUGAAAAGCCCGCUCGCCGGAAGACCAAGGGUUCCUGUCCAACGUUAAUCGGGGCAGGGUGAGUCGACCCCUAAGGCGAGGCCGAAAGGCGUAGUCGAUGGGAAACAGGUUAAUAUUCCUGUACUUGGUGUUACUGCGAAGGGGGGACGGAGAAGGCUAUGUUGGCCGGGCGACGGUUGUCCCGGUUUAAGCGUGUAGGCUGGUUUUCCAGGCAAAUCCGGAAAAUCAAGGCUGAGGCGUGAUGACGAGGCACUACGGUGCUGAAGCAACAAAUGCCCUGCUUCCAGGAAAAGCCUCUAAGCAUCAGGUAACAUCAAAUCGUACCCCAAACCGACACAGGUGGUCAGGUAGAGAAUACCAAGGCGCUUGAGAGAACUCGGGUGAAGGAACUAGGCAAAAUGGUGCCGUAACUUCGGGAGAAGGCACGCUGAUAUGUAGGUGAAGUCCCUUGCGGAUGGAGCUGAAAUCAGUCGAAGAUACCAGCUGGCUGCAACUGUUUAUUAAAAACACAGCACUGUGCAAACACGAAAGUGGACGUAUACGGUGUGACGCCUGCCCGGUGCCGGAAGGUUAAUUGAUGGGGUCAGCGCAAGCGAAGCUCUUGAUCGAAGCCCCGGUAAACGGCGGCCGUAACUAUAACGGUCCUAAGGUAGCGAAAUUCCUUGUCGGGUAAGUUCCGACCUGCACGAAUGGCGUAAUGAUGGCCAGGCUGUCUCCACCCGAGACUCAGUGAAAUUGAACUCGCUGUGAAGAUGCAGUGUACCCGCGGCAAGACGGAAAGACCCCGUGAACCUUUACUAUAGCUUGACACUGAACAUUGAGCCUUGAUGUGUAGGAUAGGUGGGAGGCUUUGAAGCGUGGACGCCAGUCUGCGUGGAGCCAACCUUGAAAUACCACCCUUUAAUGUUUGAUGUUCUAACGUUGGCCCCUGACCGGGGUUGCGGACAGUGUCUGGUGGGUAGUUUGACUGGGGCGGUCUCCUCCCAAAGAGUAACGGAGGAGCACGAAGGUUGGCUAAUCCUGGUCGGACAUCAGGAGGUUAGUGCAAUGGCAUAAGCUAGCUUGACUGCGAGCGUGACGGCGCGAGCAGGUGCGAAAGCAGGUCAUAGUGAUCCGGUGGUUCUGAAUGGAAGGGC